GACUGAAAGAGAGAGAUGCUGGAUGGACAGGUAGAUGCUGCGCUGUGGGUAUGCGGUCCGGGAGGGCAGCUAAGCACGGCCCGGCCCUGGUUCCUACAGCCGCCCCUGCCGUCCCCACCAUCUUGUUCCCCGGCAGGGGUGUGAGACCAAGGCUGGGUUCAGGGCGCCUCCAAAGAGCGGACCCCGCGUCGGGCGAGGAGCUCCCGGGGGCGGCCCGCUGGCCCCAGGCCCGCUCGCGCGGCGGCGCGGACGCAGGGAGCGCGGCUCGGGCCGCCCUCCUCAGUUCUGCAAAAUGGUGUCCGCGCUGCUGAGGCACUGGGCGCCGCGGACGUGCGGCUCCCUGCACGCCGCCCGCGCCCCGCGGCUCUCGUCUCCACGCCCGGACGCCGUGUCCCCAGAGUGACCUGUGCUAUCUGGGGCCUCGGACUGCUGCUCACAAAGAAGUCACACUGAAAGGGAGAGUGUCCCUCACGCUGGUGUCGUCUUUACCGAGAAGAGGAAACGCAGAGUUGCUCUCGGAGACUACUGUGGCACCGAGGAAUGAAAGAAACAUCACCACCACCACCCCCAUUCCAGAAUUUCCUGUCCUGUCUUGUGGUUGACUUCAAACAUUUCACCUCCCGCCUCCCUCUUUCUCACCAUCUCUUCUUCAUGGCUAAAGAAGUUACACAUUUGCAAAGGAAAUGAUUAAGCAAAUCCAGAGAUCUGGGCCAGGGGACCUGAUUUUUUUCAAGGCCCUCGUUUCUGAGAGCUGAAGAAAUCUGUGCGAUGAAGGGUUUGCUCAUGCGUUUUUAGCUUUAGUCAGGACUGGUGCACAAUUUCCUGUUUUUGUAUCCUCAAAACUGCUAAGCUACUUGUGAACAACUGGGCACGACUGUGGCUCAGUAAAGCGCCAGCAGGUGAAGAGUCUCCAGUGAGUGGCUUUCCAAGAGAGGGAAAUGAAAGAGUUAAGCUCCCCUGAAAACCAAUUUAUGCCAAGGACCGGAUUCCGACUGGCAUUCAGGCCAGUGCUAAAGAUCUGAAUUACAAAUUUACAGAAUUUGCUGCUCUGUAAGUAAUUACUUUUCUUCCUAAUGGAGCCCGUAAUUUCCGGGGGUGGGGUGGGGUGGGUGGCUAGUGUCACUUGAUUUCUACUGAUAGAAUGAACAGGAUCUAGACCAGAGAGGAGUUUAAUUCUACUCACCGUGCGAACUGCCUUUUUAUGAAUAAAAGGCCGAGAAAGGGCUUGGGAGGAUAGCUAAAAGCUGAUAAGAAUAUUUUAGAUUUCUGCAAAGCGCAUUCCCUGCAUUUGCAACUUGGGUGAGUUAACCCUGGCAAUCAUCUUCCUUUCCUCCUCUUUCAGGUAGGGUGGUGAGCUGAUUCUAGUUUGUAAAGCUUAAGAUCAUUUUGGGAUUCUUUGACAAAAGAGAUGCUGCUCGGCAGGCCUGCUCCCUUCCCGGCACUUUGAGAGGGAGCCAGCAAGGCGCAGAUUCGAACCUCUUGGAGUCUCAUUAGACGGGUCCCCAGUGCAUCUGUUUGCACACAAACAACAACAAUGCAGCUAGAGAGUCUGUGUGUGUGUGUGUGUGUGUGUGUGCAAAUCCCUGAUAAUUUGUUUAAAGGGCAGGGGGCACAACGAAACCACAAGGACUUCGCUCUCUUUCUCUUUUCCUUCCCUCUUUGGCAUUUUCCUUGGAUGGCACGUGGCCCUCUCCCCAGGAUGAAUUCAUGAGAGACCUCAGGGGCUGCUGAGAACAACUGCAAUUUGAAUGAAUUCUUUUACGGAUAUCAGACGUUGCCGUUGGCUGGAGCUGGCAAGCAGCGUUUUUCUGUUGUUGUUGUUGUUUGUUUUCCCUGAUGGUGGCCAAUUCAGCUCAACAGCCCAAUUCUUGGAAAGGCCACGUCUUGACACAGGAGAAGACACUUCCAUGUGCACCUAAAAAUAAAUAAUAAGUUAAUGAGUAUGUCAGCUUCAAAAAGACACCUUUGCCCCUCCCCCAGGUGUUAAUUUCUCUUUCUGUUUUGCGGUGUUCUUAACAUUUUACUGUGUGUGGUUUUGCUAUCCAAAGGGCAUUCCUGGGCCCUGUAGUUUAAAGAACUUUAGCCCCUCUGUGAAUCUGUGUCCCCAGAGCUUUCCUGCCCUCACUUGGGGAGUGGCUACUCUUUUCACCCCUAAUCCAACAGGAAGCAUGGAAAUUAGUAUUUAUUGCAAAUGCGUCAGGAAUGGGCUCUCCAAUCAAAACCAAACAAACCCCACCAAACUAAAAAAACAGAAUUUUAACUUGCUUCGCAGGCUACAACUGGCUUUAGAAUCUCCCCAAUAAUUUUUAGAGUCCUCUCUGGCUUAAGUUUUCUUAAAAACAGAACAAGCAAUUUCAUUCAAAGAUGGCUUUCCUUUUUUGGCCAGGAGGAUGGGAAACCAGUUAUGGAAACCGUUGGCAUGCUCUGCAGCAAGAUUCUCAGCAGAGAACUUCUUUUUAAAAGUUUGAAAAAUUUUUUCCAGGGUGGGGGGGCUCCUUCGGCAUUAGUGAGUCAGCCUCGCCCUGGAGACAUUUCUCAUCAGGGCGAAAAGCCCCUGUGUCCAGUGAGGUGAAACUUGUCACCUUUCUCAAAAGACUGGCAUGGCCGGAGCAAAAGGUCACACCAGGCAACCCCCGCGGUGUUCAGAGACAAAGCCGUGACUGGCUGCCUGUUUGCCUUGAGUCAUCCCGUGUGCUGGGAUGGGGAUGAUGGAGGGAACGUCAUCCCCCACGGAGGUCUUCCCCAGAGGGUUUUUCCCCUGAUCUGG